rnacentral:rRNA from 1 species
UGAGUAGGCGGUUAUUUAAGUCAGAUGUAAAAGGCUAUGGCUCAACUAUAGUAAGCAUUUGAAACUGGAUAACUUGAGUGCAGGAGAGGUAAGUGGAAUUCCUAGUGUAGCGGUGAAAUGCGUAGAUAUUAGGAGGAACACCAGUGGCGAAGGCGACUUACUGGACUGUAACUGACGCUGAGUCACGAAAGCGUGGGUAGCAAACAGGAUUAGAUACCCUGGUAGUCCACGCUGUAAACGAUGAGUGCUAGGUGUUGGCUAGCGAUAGUCAGUGCCGACGUAAACACAAUAAGCACUCCGCCUGGGGAGUACGGUCGCAAGACUGAA